AUGAAUGGUUGGUAUUUCAAUCACGGAAGGCGGACUCAGAAGAAGCAUGACAACGAAGAGUGGAAGUACGAAGUGAAAGAGCCAGGAGGAACCACAAACGAUGGCCGGCAACAUGGAGGUCGGGCUUUCAAGGUGUCGUUAACACAAUGUGAUUGCACUUGCGGGAGGCCAUUGUUGCUUCAUCUCCCAUGCUCACAUUUGUAUGUCGCCAGUCGCGUUAGGAAUGUGGACAUCAAUCACCCACGCACCGUGAGGGAGUCGGAGUUCUCAAUCAUGACGGUCAAGAAAACAUGGGCUCCCCGCUUUCACCCAUACUUUGACCAAUCACAAUGGCCGGAGUAUCAUGGAGUUCAACUAUGGCCGGAUCCG
rnacentral:rRNA from 1 species